rnacentral:rRNA from 1 species
UACAGAGGUCUCAAGCGUUGUUCGGAUUCAUUGGGCGUAAAGGGUGCGUAGGUGGCGCUGUAAGUCAGGUGUGAAAUUUCGGAGCUCAACUCCGAAACUGCAUUUGAUACUGCGGUGCUUGAGGACUGGAGAGGAGACUGGAAUUCACGGUGUAGCAGUGAAAUGCGUAGAUAUCAGGAGGAACACCGGUGGCGAAGGCGGGGUCUCUGGGCAACAACUGACGCUGAGGAGCGAAAGCGUGGGGAGCGAACAGG